rnacentral:rRNA from 2 species
AGCUCCAACAGCGUAUAUUAAAUUUGCUGCGGUUAAAAAGCUCGUAGUUGGAUUUCUGCCGAGGGCGACCGGUCCGCCCUUUGGGUGAGCAUCUGGUUUGCUCUCGGCAUCUUUCUGGGGUGCAUGACUGCGCUUCAUUGUGUGGCAUGUUGCCUAGGGCAUUUACUUUGAGGAAAUUAGAGUGCUUCAAGCAGGCUCAUGCCGUGAAUAUGUUAGCAUGGAAUAGUAGGAAUGGCUUCUGCUUCAUUUUUGUGGGUUUCUAAAGCCGAAGUGAUGCUUAAUAGGGACAGCUGGGGGCAUCGGUAUUUAACUGCCAGAGGUGAAAUUCUUGGAUUUGUCGAAGACAGACUACUGCGAAAGCACUUGCCAAGCAUGUUUUCAUUG